AGAGUUUGAUCAUGGCUCAGAACGAACGCUGGCGGCAGGCUUAACACAUGCAAGUCGAACGCCCCGCAAGGGGAGUGGCAGACGGGUGAGUAACACGUGGGAACGUACCUUUCGGUUCGGAAUAACUCAGGGAAACUUGAGCUAAUACCGGAUACGUCCGCAAGGAGAAAGAUUUAUUGCCGAAAGAUCGGCCCGCGUAGGAUUAGCUAGUUGGUGAGGUAAUGGCUCACCAAGGCGACGAUCCUUAGCUGGUCUGAGAGGAUGAUCAGCCACACUGGGACUGAGACACGGCCCAGACUCCUACGGGAGGCAGCAGUGGGGAAUAUUGGACAAUGGGCGAAAGCCUGAUCCAGCCAUGCCGCGUGAAUGAUGAAGGCCUUAGGGUUGUAAAGUUCUUUCAACGGUGAAGAUAAUGACGGUAACCGAGAAGAAGCCCAGCAUGCC
rnacentral:rRNA from 1 species